rnacentral:rRNA from 1 species
UAUACGACCGUACCGCAAACCGACACUGGUGCGCGAGAUGAGUAUUCUAAGGCGCUUGAGAGAACUCAGGAGAAGGAACUCGGCAAAUUGACACCGUAACUCCGGAAGAAGGUGUGCCCUAUUAGUGUGUAGUGAACAACGAAGCAUGAAUGGGUUGCAAAAAAUCGGUGGCUGCGACUGUCUAUUAAAAACACAGCACUCUGCAAACACGAAAGUGGACGUAUAGGGUGUGACGCCUGCCCGGUGCUGGAAGAUUAAAUGAUGGGGUGCAAGCUCUUGAUUGAAGUCCCAGUAAACGGCGGCCGUAACAAUAACGGUCCUAAGGUAGCGAAAUUCCUUGUCGGGUAAGUUCCGACCUGCACGAAUGGCGUAACGAUGGCCACACUGUCUCCUCCUGAGACUCAGCGAAGUUGAAAUGUUUGUGAUGAUGCAAUCUCCCCGCGGAAAGACGGAAAGACCCCAUGAACCUUUACUGUAGCUUUGUAUUGGACUUUGAACAGAUCUGUGUAGGAUAGGUGGGAGGCUUUGAAGCAGGGUCGCUAGAUCUUGUGGAGCCAACGUUGAAAUACCACCCUGGUGUGUUUGAGGUUCUAACCUAGGUCCAUUAUCUGGAUCGGGGACAGUGCAUGGUAGGCAGUUUGACUGGGGCGGUCUCCUCCCAAAGCGUAGCGGAGGAGUUCGAAGGUACGCUAGUUACGGUCGGACAUCGUGACGAUAGUGCAAUGGCAUAAGCGUGCUUAACUGCGAGACUGACAAGUCGAGCAGAUGCGAAAGCAGGACAUAGUGAUCCGGUGGUUCUGUAUGGAAGGGCCAUCGCUCAACGGAUAAAAGGUACUCUGGGGAUAACAGGCUGAUACCGCCCAAGAGUUCAUAUCGACGGCGGUGUUUGGCACCUCGAUGUCGGCUCAUCUCAUCCUGGGGCUGUAGCCGGUCCCAAGGGUAUGGCUGUUCGCCAUUUAAAGAGGUACGUGAGCUGGGUUUAAAACGUCGUGAGACAGUUUGGUCCCUAUCUUCCGUGGGCGCUGCAGAUUUGAGGAAGCCUGCUCCUAGUACGAGAGGACCGGAGUGGACACACCUCUGGUGUAUCGGUUGUCACGCCAGUGGCAUUGCCGAGUAGCUAAGUGUGGAAGAGAUAACCGCUGAAAGCAUCUAAGCGGGAAACUCGUUUCAAGAUGAGAUCUGCCGGGGCCUUGAGCCCCCUAAAGAGUCGUUCAAGACCAGGACGUUGAUAGGUCAGGUGUGGAAGUG